AUGGAAGCCUCCAAGUUCGGCUUCGGUCCCGGCAUGCCGCCGGCGUUCAAGUUCGACCCUACCGACGGCGACAUCGUCGCCUGCUACCUCCUCCCGCGCGCGCUCGGCCUCCCCAACCCGCACGCGCACGCCAUCAUCGAAGAAGACCCCGGGAGCGCCCCGCCGUGGGAGCUCCUCCGGAGGCACGGCGGCGACGGCGAGAUCGAACACGCCUUCUUCUUCGGCCCGCCCACGGGCGGCGGCCGCAGGAGGCGCACCGUCAAGGGCGGCGGCGUGUGGCAGGGGCAGAAGUUGAACGAGGGCACCGUCACCCUGCUCGGCCCCGGCGGCGCCGAGUUGGACAUCGCCUACAAGCGGUACGACCUCACCUUCAAGCUCAAGGCCGGCCGCGGUAGCGCCAGCACGGGGUAUGUCAUGCACGAGUACGAGAUCACGUCGCCGCCGCUCCCCGGCAAGGUGCUCACCCGCGUCAACAUCAGCAGUAACGCCAAGAAGGAAAAGGCACCGGGCGCGGCCACCGCCGGCGCCGACCAGCAGGUUAUGGUCUCGGACCCUGAGCUGCCGGGCACGAGCUACUACGAUCACGAUGCUGCCGCGAUGGCGAGCAACGGCGAGGGACUCGGUUGCACGCAAGCUGGUGCUCCGUAUGGCGGCAACGGCGGUGACACGGCAGAUGCCGACUCCUGCUAUACGCCUCUCAACUGUGUCCUCCCGGACGGCGAGUACAUCGACUACGGCUUCUCGUACACCAACCAGCUUGCCGCGGCGACAACGAGUCACGGCCAGGGAUUCACCGGCGCUCAAGCUGAUGCUUUCUACGGCUGCGGCAUGGUGGGGACGAACGGCGCCUACUACGACCCCUCACCGUUCGUCCCGGUUGCUAGCCAAGAGGUUGCCCCAUGGCAUAAUCAGCUGGGCCAGAUCCACAGCCACUACCAAUACUACGCUGGAGAUGCUGCCGUGAUGUGCUCCGGCGGCGAGCAACAAGCCGGUGGCGCUCUGUGUGGCCACAACGAUGACGGCGGUGCCAUGAAAACCGAGAGCGCCCACUCGCAUAUUUUGCCCUGCAAUGGCGGGGAGGAGAACCGGGAAGAGAUCUACGACUACGAAGCCUCUCGGCGACAACGGCGGCGACUUCAAUGA
rnacentral:rRNA from 1 species